rnacentral:rRNA from 1 species
UACGUAGGGCGCAAGCGUUGUCCGGAAUUAUUGGGCGUAAAGAGCUCGUAGGCGGCCUGUUGCGUCCGCUGUGAAAUCCCGGGGCUCAACCCCCGGGCCUGCAGUGGAUACGGGCUGGCUAGAGGCAGGCAGGGGGAGAACGGAAUUCCUGGUGUAGCGGUGAAAUGCGCAGAUAUCAGGAGGAACACCGGUGGCGAAGGCGGGUCUCUGGGCCGAUACUGACGCUGAGGAGCGAAAGCGUGGGGAGCGAACAGG